GUGGGGAAUAUUGGACAAUGGGGGGAACCCUGAUCCAGCCAUGCCGCGUGUGUGAAGAAGGCCUUUUGGUUGUAAAGCACUUUAAGCGAGGAGGAGGCUACCGAGAUUAAUACUCUUGGAUAGUGGACGUUACUCGCAGAAUAAGCACCGGCUAACUCUGUGCCAGCAGCCGCGGUAAUACAGAGGGUGCAAGCGUUAAUCGGAUUUACUGGGCGUAAAGCGCGCGUAGGUGGCCAAUUAAGUCAAAUGUGAAAUCCCCGAGCUUAACUUGGGAAUUGCAUUCGAUACUGGUUGGCUAGAGUAUGGGAGAGGAUGGUAGAAUUCCAGGUGUAGCGGUGAAAUGCGUAGAGAUCUGGAGGAAUACCGAUGGCGAAGGCAGCCAUCUGGCCUAAUACUGACACUGAGGUGCGAAAGCAUAGGGAGCAAACAGGAUUAGAAACCCGUGUAGUCC
rnacentral:rRNA from 1 species